UCCGUAGGGUGCAAGCGUUAAUCGGAAUUACUGGGCGUAAAGCGUGCGCAGGCGGUUCGGAAAGUAAGAUGUGAAAUCCCAGAGCUUAACUUUGGAACUGCAUUUUUAACUACCGGGCUAGAGUGUGUCAGAGGGAGGUGGAAUUCCGCGUGUAGCAGUGAAAUGCGUAGAUAUGCGGAGGAACACCGAUGGCGAAGGCAGCCUCCUGGGAUAACACUGACGCUCAUGCACGAAAGCGUGGGGAGCAAACAGG
rnacentral:rRNA from 1 species